CACAUGCAAGUCGAGGGGAGACGACAUCGAAAGCUUGCUUUUGAUGGGCGUCGACCGGCGCACGGGUGAGUAACGCGUAUCCAACCUGCCCACCACAUGGGGAUAACCUUGCGAAGGUAAGACUAAUACCCAAUGAUAUCUCUAGAAGACAUCUGAAGGAGAUUAAAGAUUUAUCGGUGAUGGAUGGGGAUGCGUCUGAUUAGCUUGUUGGCGGGGUAACGGCCCACCAAGGCUACGAUCAGUAGGGGUUCUGAGAGGAAGGUCCCCCACAUUGGAACUGAGACACGGUCCAAACUCCUACGGGAGGCAGCAGUGAGGAAUAUUGGUCAAUGGACGAGAGUCUGAACCAGCCAAGUAGCGUGCAGGAUGACGGCCCUAUGGGUUGUAAACUGCUUUUAUAAGGGAAUAAAGUGAGUCUCGUGAGACUUUUUGCAUGUACCUUAUGAAUAAGGACCGGCUAAUUCCGUGCCAGCAGCCGCGGUAAUACGGAAGGUCCGGGCGUUAUCCGGAUUUAUUGGGUUUAAAGGGAGCGUAGGCCGGAGAUUAAGCGUGUUGUGAAAUGUAGAUGCUCAACAUCUGCACUGCAGCGCGAACUGGUUUCCUUGAGUACGCACAAAGUGGGCGGAAUUCGUGGUGUAGCGGUGAAAUGCUUAGAUAUCACGAAGAACUCCGAUUGCGAAGGCAGCUCACUGGAGCGCAACUGACGCUGAAGCUCGAAAGUGCGGGUAUCGAACAGGAUUAGAUACCCUGGUAGUCCGCACGGUAAACGAUGGAUGCCCGCUGUUGGUCUGAAUAGGUCAGCGGCCAAGCGAAAGCAUUAAGCAUCCCACCUGGGGAGUACGCCGGCAACGGUGAAACUCAAAGGAAUUGACGGGGGCCCGCACAAGCGGAGGAACAUGUGGGUUAAUUCGAUGAUACGCGAGGAACCUUACCCGGGCUUGAA
rnacentral:rRNA from 1 species